rnacentral:sRNA from 1 species
GCUGGGUGCAGUGGCGUGCGCCUGUAAUCCCAACUACUCAGGAGGCUGAGGCAGGAGAAUCACUUGAACUCGGGAGGCAGAGGUUUCAGUGAGCUGAGAUUGAGCCACUGCACUCUAGCCUGAGCAACACAGUGAGACUCUGUCUCAA